UGAGCAAUCUGCCCUUCUCAUCGGGAUAAGCGUUGGAAACGACGUCUAAUGCCGAAUACGACCUCCUUUCGCAUGAUCGGAGGUGGAAAGCUCCGGCGGAGAAGGAUGAGCUCGCGGCCUAUCAGCUAGUUGGUGUGGGUAAUGGCUCACCAAGCCUACGACGGGUAGCCGGCCUGAGAGGGUGACCGGCCACACGUGGGACUGAGACACGGCCCAGACUCCGUAGGGA
rnacentral:rRNA from 1 species